GUGCCAGCAGCCGCGGUAAUACGUAGGUGGCAAGCGUUGUCCGGAUUUAUUGGGCGUAAAGCGAGCGCAGGCGGUUUUUUAAGUCUGAUGUGAAAGCCUUCGGCUCAACCGAAGAAGUGCAUCGGAAACUGGGAAACUUGAGUGCAGAAGAGGACAGUGGAACUCCAUGUGUAGCGGUGAAAUGCGUAGAUAUAUGGAAGAACACCAGUGGCGAAGGCGGCUGUCUGGUCUGUAACUGACGCUGAGGCUCGAAAGUAUGGGUAGCAAACAGGAUUAGAUACCCUGGUAGUCCAUACCGUAAACGAUGAAUGCUAAGUGUUGGAGGGUUUCCGCCCUUCAGUGCUGCAGCUAACGCAUUAAGCAUUCCGCCUGGGGAGUACGGCCGCAAGGCUGAAACUCAAAGGAAUUGACGGGGGCCCGCACAAGCGGUGGAGCAUGUGGUUUAAUUCGAUGCAACGCGAAGAACCUUACCUGGUCUUGACAUCCACGGAAGUUUUCAGAGAUGAGGAUGUGCCUUCGGGAACCGUGAGACAGGUGCUGCAUGGCUGUCGUCAGCUCGUGUUGUGAAAUGUUGGGUUAAGUCCCGCAACGAGCGCAACCCUUAUCCUUUGUUGCCAGCGGUCCGGCCGGGAACUCAAAGGAGACUGCCAGUGAUAAACUGGAGGAAGGUGGGGAUGACGUCAAAUCAUCAUGCCCCUUAUGACCUGGGCUACACACGUGCUACAAUGGAUGGUACAACGAGUUGCGAACUCGCGAGAGCAAGCGGACCUCAUAAAGUGCGUCGUAGUCCGGAUUGGAGUCUGCAACUCGACUCCAUGAAGUCGGAAUCGCUAGUAAUCGUGGAUCAGAAUGCCACGGUGAAUACGUUCCCGGGCCUUGUACACACCGCCCGU
rnacentral:rRNA from 1 species